rnacentral:rRNA from 1 species
GGAGGAUCCAAGCGUUAUCCGGAAUUAUUGGGUUUAAAGGGUCCGUAGGUGGAUAAUUAAGUCAGAGGUGAAAUCCUGCAGCUCAACUGUAGAAUUGCCUUUGAAACUGGUUAUCUUGAGUCAUUAUGAAGUAGUUAGAAUAUGUGGUGUAGCGGUGAAAUGCAUAGAUAUUACAUAGAAUACCAAUUGCGAAGGCAGAUUACUAAUAAUGUACUGACACUGAUGGACGAAAGCGUGGGGUAGCGAACAGGAUUAGAUACCCUGGUAGUCCACGCCGUAAACGAUGGUCACUAGCUGUUUGAACUUCGGUUUGAGUGGCUAAGCGAAAGUGAUAAGUGACCCCACCUGGGAGUACGUUCGCAAGAAUG